AGGCCCGUAGCUCAAGAAGGUAGAGCAUCGGAUUCCAAAUCCGAAGGUUGUGGGUUCGAGUCCCACCGGGCCUA
rnacentral:tRNA from 1 species